GCUGUAGGGUACCCAGGCUCUUUGCCUUAUAGCAUUGUAGUCCUGCACUCUGUUCUCUUGGGAAGUCCUCAGACACCCAGCACCUUCCUGAGCUCAUACUCUGCUAACUCCCUGAAGCAUCUAGGUAUUCUCUGAGAUCGUAAGCAUCCAGAGACUGUUCAGAUCUGCCCAUAUUCCGCAGGUCAUGAUGCUGAGUGCUAGAAUCAGUUCAGGGGUGGGCUUUGUAGUAAGAAUUCUGGAAUUUUGGAUUCUUUAAAAAAAAAAAAAAAAAGCACAGAUAUAUUAUAAGACUGUGUUUUUGUCUUACUCCCAGGUGUGGGGCUAUGUGGCUGCUUUGCAGCAGCUGACUAUGAUUUGCCUCGUGCUCUAACAGGGGCAUGGUUUUACCCAGCUUCAGAUAGUUUCUGCAAUUGUGUGACUUUGGAAUUCUGGGAAUUUUUCAGAGGAUAUAUCAAUGCUAAGUCCCUGAGAGGUGGGGUUCAUGGUUGUUAGUUGUUCAGGGGGGGUUAGUUGCAGUUUGUUAGUAGUCGUGCUC
rnacentral:lncRNA from 1 species